UGAGGAAUAUUGGGCAAUGCCCGCAAGGGUGACCCAGCAACGCCGCGUGGAGGAUGAAUGUCGUAAGAUUGUAAACUCCUGUUAGAGGGGAAGAAUAGUACCGGUUGGACCGGUAUAUGACUGUACCCUCAGAGAAAGCCCCGGCGAACUACGUGCCAGCAGCCGCGGUAAUACGUAGGGGGCAAGCGUUGUCCGGAUUUACUGGGUGUAAAGGGCGCGCAGGCGGGAUAAAAAGUCAGUGGUGAAAUCCUACAGCUUAACUGUAGAACUGCCUUUGAUACUUUUAUUCUUGAGUUCGGGAGAGAGAGACGGAAUUCCAGGUGUAGUGGUGAAAUACGUAGAUAUCUGGAAGAACACCAGUUGCGAAGGCGGUCUCUUGGUCCGACACUGACGCUGAGGCGCGAAAGCGUGGGGAGCAAACA
rnacentral:rRNA from 1 species